UGGGGGAUAUUGCACAAUGGGCGAAAGCCUGAUGCAGCGACGCCGCGUGGGGGAUGAAGGCCUUCGGGUUGUAAACUUCUUUUGCUCUGAACAAGGCAUGCCUUUGGGGUGUGUUGAGUGUAGGGGUUGAUUAGCGCCGGCUAACUACGUGACAGCAGCCGCGGUAAUACGUAGGGCGCGAGCGUUGUCCGGAAUUAUUGGGCGUAAAGGGCUUGUAGGUGGCUGGUUGCGUCUGUCGUGAAAGCUCAUGGCUUAACUGUGGGUUUGCGGUGGGUACGGGCUGGCUUGAGUGCAGUAGGGGAGGCUGGAAUUCCUGGUGUAGCGGUGGAAUGCGCAGAUAUCAGGAGGAAUACCGGUGGCGAAGGCGGGUCUCUGGGCUGUUACUGACGCUGAGGAGCGAAAGCGUGGGGAGCGAACAGG
rnacentral:rRNA from 1 species